rnacentral:rRNA from 1 species
UUUAAAUGUAAAUAAAUUAAUAGAUUAGUAAUAGUUAUGUUCUUGAAAAUUAAAAAAUUUGGCGGUUUUUUAGUCUAUUCAGAGGAAUCUGUCCUAUAAUUGAUAAUCCACGAUUAAUAUUACUUAUUUUAUUAGUUUGUAUAUCGUCGUAAAGGAAUAUUUUUUAAAAAUUAAAUAUUCAGAAAGUUUAAUAAAAAAAAAGAUCAGAUCAAGGUGCAAUUUAUAAAUAAGAAGAGAUGGGUUACAAUAAAUUUAUUUAUGAAUAUUAAAUUGAAAAUUUAAUUGAAAUUGGAUUUGAAAGUAAAUUUGAUUAUUUUAUUAGAUUGAUUAAGCUCUAAAAUAUGU